rnacentral:lncRNA from 1 species
GCCAUACCUGUGGCAUAUGGAAGUUCCCAAGUUAGGGGUCGAAUUGGAACUACAGCUGCUGGCCUACACCACACAGCCACAGCAACACCAGAUCUGAGCUGCAUCUGCGACCAUACUGCAUCUGUGGCAAUGCCAGAUCCCUAACCCACUGAGCAAGGCCAGGGAUCUAGCAUCCCCAUGGAUACUAGUUGUGUUCUUAACCCUCUGAGCCACAAUGGAAACUCCUACAUAAACUACUAUUAUAUCUUAUGGAAUGAAUAUCUCUGGAAUACAAUUUGUGGAACAGAUAGCUAAAAAUAAUAUUGAGCUUUCUGAAGUUCAAGGUAAUUGCUCUGAGGCAGGAAUGGACUAUCAGUUAAAGUCAAUUACCAAUGUUUUAAGAAGUGAGUGAUUCUCUAGGAUUUAGUCUCUUGCUAUUUCCUCUCAAGGAACUUGCAACCUCAAUUAGAAGUUAAUAGAAAAUGGGAGUUCCCGUCGUGGCGCAGUGGUUAACGAAACCGCCUAGGAACCAUGAUGUUGCGGGUUCAGUCCCUGCCCUUGCUCAGUGGGUUAACGAUCCGGUGUUGCCGUGAGCUGUGGUGUAGGUUGCAUAUGCGGCUCGGAUCCUGCGUUGCUGUGGCUCUGGCGUAGGCUGGUGGCUACAGUUCCGAUUAGACCCCUAGCCUGGGAACCUCCAUAUGCCGCGGGAGCGGCCCAAGAAAUAUCAACAACAACAACAACAAAAGACAAAAAAAAAUAAAUAAAUAAAAUAAAUAAAAUAAAAUAAAAUAAAAAAUAAAAAAAGAAAUUAAUAGAAAAUGUAAUUUGACAUUGUAACAUUUAGCCAAAAGGGCUGUCUCUCGAUGUUGUCAUCUGGAUGAGUGAAGAAAAGAUCCAAUUUUAACGUAUGUGUAUUCCAUAACUCUAUGUUCUAUGAGUAGAUAAACAGCAACAUUGAGAAAACAAAAUUGCAUUUUACUGGGCUUUAUCUGUACUUUUUUGCUCCUCCAGCAUGAGUACUGCAACUUGAAGCCUAUUGUGAAGUCACUCACUUUGUGUUUAAUGAUACACUCUACAGCAAUCCAUUUUUCAGGCUUGGACAGCUGAGACACCAAUGUUGCUCUUUAACCCAGACAAAGUGAACCAAAAUGAGUCAUAUAAUUUUUGUACAGUGUCAUAGGGAUCAUAAAAAUAUAUUAUAUAGUACUCUAACAUUACCAAGUCAAAGCAUAAAAAGAGAAUAUGCCUCUCCAAUAAGUCCAGAGUAUUAUCAGACUAUGAGUCAUAUUUUUAAAAAAUCAAGAAUAUUAGAUUUACCUUUAGCUCUAGGGACAUACAAAAAAUCUGCAAUAUAAAGUUUUUUUCUUUUAAAUUACUCAGUAUUAGUUUCCAGCCUAACUUUACAAUAUUAGCUUGAGACUAAGUAUUUAAAUAUGAGUUCCUAUUCUUCUGUGGAUAAUAACUAUCAAUAAUUCAAAUUAUAGGUUCAUUAUAUACCCAUUAACAGAUUAAACAAAGGAAGGCUUCCUAAUUUUCUCAGUGCUUAGAUAUAAGGGCUUUAUUUAGGGGGUCAUUAAGUAGACAGAAAGAGUUUGUGCCUUGGGUAUGGCAGACCUAGAUUCAUAUCUGCUCAGUAGCUUAGGACAAGUUAUUCACAAAUCCCACUAAGUUUCAGUUUUCUCAUAUGGAAAUGGAAAUCAAAUACUUCCUAUGGUUCCUUCAAAGCUUAAAUGUGGCUCGUACAUGGUAGUGCUCAACAAGCCUCCUUUUGGAAUCAGCAAAGAAUCCUAAAAUUCAAAUUUCCUAAGAGAACCUUAGAUGAGCUUUCCACCCUGACCCCAUCUCAGCAUAUAGCACCUGUGAUUACAAAUGUCUACUUACUCAUAUAUACCUUGCAUGAUAGACAACUUGAAGGCAGGGACCAUUUCUUAUUUCUCCUUUGUCUCCAAUACAUAGCAGAGUAUUUGGCAAUUUGGCAUAUAUUUAAAUGUAUAAAUAAGAGGAAUUUUCUUAAUUAAUGAAAAUGCCGAUGCAAACAAAAUUUUGAUUUAUUCUGCCUAUUUCCAUUGUUAUUUUAUAUAAAAGUAUAUUUAAAUGAAGUGUAAAAUAGUCAUCCAAGAAAUACCUUCUAUUACAAUAUGAUAUGAAAAAUAAUCACUGUUAAAUAUAUAUACAAUAUAAUUGUGUGUGCACAUACAAAAACAUAUAUAUAUGUAUACACAUACUGACUGCAUUGCCUUCAUUAAAAACCUUAUAUUACACCUUCUAGUAAUAAUCAAUGCAUAUUAUUAUCACUAAUAUGAAUCAAUAAUGUCCACUAGUAAUGUUGACCAUUUUAUUCAUUAAUAAACAUUUACUUAGCUCAUGCAAUGACUUUAGAGUGUACAAAGCACCAAAUUAGACUUUUCUCAGAGAGGUUUAAGUCUGAGUUAGACAGGCAGGCCAGACACAAACACGGAGAAUGAAGGUUAAUGCAUUCAAGGAAAGAAUGAGUGACAUCAUGGCAUAUACAUCAAUACCUGACACUUAAGAGGAAAGUGAGAGAUUCUAAAUUGCAUAAUACAAUUCAACACCAUUAUCAAAAAUACCCAUAACAAUCACAAGGACUCAAGCACACAUUCUCGGUGAAGGUUGACUUAAAUGUCUCAACUCAAGAAAAGAACCCAAAUAUAUUACUCAUUGAACAGCCAGUAAGGCAGAAACAAGGUUGCAUUACCCUAGAUGCUGACUAACAUGGCAAGGGAUAGAGUUUCUCUAGGAAAUGCCAUUCACAGAAAGCUUUUAGUGGAAGUAAAAAAUCAUCUGCCUAGCAGUUUCUUCAUGACCCCAAGAAGUUAUGAGGAGAUGGAAAGGAGAUGUGUUUUAGUGAGUUUAUUGUCCUUGUGUGAUAGUUUUUUUUUUUAAUUUUUUUUCUCAACUUACAAUCUCAAUUCUCUAAGACAAGCUUUAGUCAAAUGUGUUUUGCUUCUGCCCAUCUCAGGUGAUUACAAAAUUCUAUUACUUCAUGGAAAAAGAAACUCUAAAGAAAAUAAUUUAAAUAUCAAUAACUUUUUGAGACAAUAAGGAAAAAAAUCAAAAUUAGCAAGUCCCUAUUAAAUUUAAUCCCUAAAGAUAUUUAUUAAAGAGUAAGUCCUUAAAAAUAUUUAAGAAAGGUAAGGAAAUAUGUGAAUGUAAUGUAUUGGUUUCCAUAAGUUAUUCUGUUUAUAUUGUCAUAUAAUCUGUUCUUAUAUCAUCCAAAUUUUUCCAAUUAAACAUUUCAUCAAUGUAUAGGUAUACUAAACUUUGCAAUUAUGGGUUAUAUCCAAACUCUCAACUUUCCCAGCUGAAUAAAUGCAGCCAAUAACUUUACCACUUCUAAGCCUGUUUUCUUGACUUUUUUUUUUCUUUGUACAGCUGUACCUGUGGCAUAUGGAAGUUCCUGGGCUAGGAGUCAAAUUGGAGCUUCAGCUGCCUAUGCCUCAGCCAUGGUCAUGAGAACACUGAAUUUGAGGCACAACUGCUAUCUAUGUCACAGAUUCAGCAACACUGGAUCCUUAAUCCACUGAGCAAGGCCAGAGAUUGAAACCCCAUCCUCAUGGACACUAUGUCAGGUUCUUUUUUUUUUUUUAAUCUUUUGUCCUUAUAGGGCAGCACCAGCAGUAUAUGGAGGUUCCCAGGCUAGG